rnacentral:miRNA from 1 species
GCACCCAGGCAAGGAUUCU